rnacentral:lncRNA from 1 species
AGCAGCGGGCGGGCAGCGGCAAACGGCGACACGGAGUGGUCACUGCGCAAGGUGAGGGGCGCGUUCAGCUGACAAGAGAGGAGAAUCUGGUGGCAGUGGACAUGGGGCGCUGCCUGCCGAGGAGACGUACGCCGGGCACUACAGUAAAUAGAAAAAAAAAAGAAAAAAGAACAGGGAGUUUUCCCCUUUCAGCACAACCGGCUGGUCAGUCAACAAGCGAGGGAACCGCGAGAUGGGAGCGAACGGCC